rnacentral:rRNA from 1 species
CAGCCGCCGCGGUAAUACGUAGGUCCCGAGCGCUGUCCGGAUUUAUUGGGCGUAAAGCGAGCGCAGGCGGUUAGAUAAGUCUGAAGUUAAAGGCUGUGGCUUAACCAUAGUACGCUUUGGAAACUGUUUAACUUGAGUGCAAGAGGGGAGAGUGGAAUUCCAUGUGUAGCGGUGAAAUGCGUAGAUAUAUGGAGGAACACCGGUGGCGAAAGCGGCUCUCUGGCUUGUAACUGACGCUGAGGCUCGAAAGCGUGGGGAGCAAACAGGAUUAGAUACCUGUGUAGUCCCUGUCUCUUAUACA